GCAGCCGUGGCGGAAUUGGCAGACGCACCAGACUUAGGAUCUGGCGCCCUCAGGGUGUGGGAGUUCGACUCUCCCCGGCUGUA
rnacentral:tRNA from 1 species